rnacentral:rRNA from 1 species
UACGUAGGUGGCAAGCGUUGUCCGGAUUUAUUGGGUUUAAAGGGUGCGUAGGCGGCUUUGUAAGUCAGUGGUGAAAUAUGGCAGCUCAACUGUCAAGGUGCCAUUGAUACUGCAGAGCUUGAGUACAGAUGAGGUAGGCGGAAUUGACGGUGUAGCGGUGAAAUGCGCAGAUAUCAGGAAGAACACCCGUGGCGAAGGCGGCUCUCUGGAACGCAACUGACGCUGAGACGCGAAAGCGUGGGGAGCAAACAGG